CCUACGGGGGGCAGCAGUUGGGAAUCUUGCACAAUGGGGGAAACCCUGAUGCAGCGACGCCGCGUGGAGGAUGAAGGAUCUAGGUCUGUAAACUCCUUUUUCACGGAAAACGGUACCGUGAGAAUAAGCUCCGGCUAACUACGUGCCAGCAGCCGCGGUAAGACGUAGGGAGCAAGCGUUGUCCGGAUUUACUGGGCGUAAAGGGCGCGUAGGCGGUCUGUUAAGUGAGUACUGAAAUCCCAGGGCUUAACCCGGAAACUGGUUCUCAUACUGGCAGACUUGAGGAAGGCAGAGGUAACUGGAAUUCCUGGUGUAGCGGUGAAAUGCGUUGAUAUCAGGAGGAACUCCAAUGGCGAAGGCAGGUUACUGGGCCUUUCUGACGCUGAGGCGCGAAAGCGUGGGUAGCAAACAGGAUUAGAUACCCUUGUAGUC
rnacentral:rRNA from 1 species